GAAGGAAGAAUCUGUCUCCCAGUAUCGUGGGAACUCUUCUGAGACUGCAGGAUGGUGUGUGUGGUACUUGAUUGCAUUGUACAAACACACUAAUCUAGAGUAGAUUGAAAAGAAAGAAGAAGGUGAAGGAGCAGAGAUGAUUCAGGAGCAUGAGGCAAGAGCUCCACCUCUCACAAAGACUUGACGCAUCAGACCGGGACACUGAGUCCUGUUCCAGAUGGGUGUAUCACAGAACCACUUCCAGGAUGGUAGGGUCACCCCAGAGCCUAUGGAUCCAGAAAAUGUGAUGAUGCAACACAUACCCAACCUUGCUUCUGCCAACGUGGAUUCAGGGCGCCUGGUAGUGACUGAGCACUAAGCACAUGGCAAGCAUUCAACACAGAGAAAUGGAGAUACAUCUUGGAGAUAAAUAGAAGGCCAGCCUCCUCCUAUUGGAAGACGCUGGGUUGAGGUUCAGAGCAGGUAAGCCACUGGACCAGCAACCCCGACCUAGGCAGAAGCUGGCAUCCAGGCUCUCUGACAGAGCCUGCUCUCCCUCCAAAGAAGCUGGUCCUCUUCAUGCCUCUCUGGGCUUGUCUUCUACCUUCUCUCUUUUCCCAUAAGGGGUGUUUCUCUCUUUGUAUGCAAAUCCUUUUAGCCCUUCAACAAACAGGUCAAACCUCUGAAAACUCUGGCUUGCCCCAAUCUCACCCUCUCCAUACCACCAAGCAUAUUUAGUGUUUAGCUGUGGCAGGUGGUUGUAGCUAAUCUAACACUCUUCUUUUGUUAUCUGCUGGUGUUGUGUGUGGAAGUUUCUUCUCUCAGAUACACUCUCCAUCCUGAAAACAAGGACUGGAUUUUUACACU
ensembl:lncRNA